GCUGAACGCUGGCGGCGUGCCUAAUACAUGCAAGUCGAGCGAACGGACGAGAAGCUUGCUUCUCUGAUAUUAACGGCGGAAGGGUGAGUAACACGUGGAUAACCUACCUAUAAUACUGGGAUAACUUCGGGAAACCGGAGCUAAUUCCGGAUAAUAUUUUGAACCGCAUGGUUCAAAAGUGAACAACGGUCUUGCUGUCACUUAUAGAUGGAUCCGCGCUGCAUUAGCUAGUUGGUAAGGUAACGGCUUACCAAGGCAACUAUGCAUAGCCGACCUGAGAGGGUGAUCGGCCACACUGGAACUGAGACACGGUCCAGACUCCUACGGGAGGCAGCAGUAGGGAAUCUUCCGCAAUGGACGAAAGCCUGACGGAGCAACGCCGCGUGAGUGAUGAAGGUCUUCGGAUCGUAAAACUCUGUUAUUAGGGAAGAACAUAUGUGUAAGUAACUGUGCACAUCUUGACGGUACCUAAUCAGAAAGCCACGGCUAACUACGUG
rnacentral:rRNA from 1 species